AUGUCUAAUGGUUAGGUCCUUGAUCUUUGAUCAUGUUAAAUGGCAUUCCAUUGGAGUGUCCACGACAUUGUUGGGAUCAAGCUAUCUAGUCAUGUAGGCAUAUGAAUGUACAACAAGGGAUCUCUAACCUUCCAUGGUGGAAGGAGAAUACUCUAAGAUAUGAUUCAGGAGUCUUUGGCCAAAGCAUAUGAAUAUGACUUAGGAAGUUUGUUCCAAAUCAUGUUCAAUUGAAUCAUAUAGAGAAGUAUCACAUUGGAUAGUAGACAUGAAACAAACUAUCACUUAAACAAUGUGAUUAAGAGUAUUGUAUUAGAGAAUGACCGUAUUGCAUUGUAGUUGUAACUGGAUAGGUUCUCCAACCAAUUCUACUUAGCUUGGGUAACCAUGACAUACUGCUAGGUGUCACUCAUGGUUUGUGGAAGCCCUAAUGAUUAGCAAACACUAAUUUUAAGGGAGAAUUGAAAUGUGGUUUCAAUUCACAAUCGAUCGUUAAGAGUAACAAUCGCCCACUACCUCGCUGAAUGGAACCUAAUGGAUCGUACACCGAGUAAGGAUGAUAGUGAAGAAAUAAAUAAGAUGGAUAUGCAAUUAAAUUGUUUAAUUGAAAAAUGGUCAAGAUUAAUUAAUUAGUUAAUUAAUUAUACGAAAUGUUCGUAUUAGGCUUUUAAGUUGGUUUUGGGCUUCGGGGCCCAAAAGCGUUUUGGUCCACAAGGCCCAUUAUGUUUAAGUUGUAUGAAAACUAAAACAAAAUGAGCAAAUUAGCCCAAUAACAAGGUAAGGCCGGCCAUAGGGUGAGGGGUUGCAAAUUUGGAUUAAUUACAAGUUUGCCACUCACUUGAAAUGAAGUAUAAAAUCAACUUUAUAGCUUUAUUUCUUUUUUAGGGUUUUUCUUGGUGAAAUGAGGUGAAACACUUUCUCUCUAUUUCUCUAAAGAGGCCGACCACUUAGAGGGGAAUUAGCUAGCAAUCUUUUCUUUUCUAAGUCAUCCAUUUCAUCUUCACACUUCAUCCUUGGUGUGGAGACUUAGAGACAUCAAGCUUUUGACUUGAAGGCCCUCCACUUGGGUGAAUCCCUUGUGUAAACAAGGAUGAGCUUCAAGGGUAAAGAAUCUCUAAAUUCUUAAUUCUCUUUAAUGUUGUUAAAGAGUCUUUUGGUUCACCAUAUACUAGGCUUUGAAAGUCAUGGGUUUUAUGAAUUGUUUUUGAAUGCAUGCCUACUUUAAUGUGUUAAUAGUUUGCAUAUGUAUUCAAAUGUUCUUACUUGUUCUUAGCUAGGACAAAAAAUUUCCUUCAUCAAGAACAACCUCACAAUGAUAUGAUGUUGAUCAUUCUCGUUGCCUACCUUUACAACAUCAUGUAUGCAUAUAGAACUCCUUUUAAGUGUAAGCACGCACUUUGUACUCCCCCAUGAUAGGGUGAAGUUGGUGUACGAGUCAUAAACAAUCAGAGCCUAUCACGGUGGAAGGCUACGAAAGAGUGUUCAAAGCACUCUCAUGCUUAUCAACUUCAUAAUGGUUUGGUUGAGGGUUUUAGGUCUCAUCACACAUAAGCAUGCAUUUUAAUCUUAUUAAAACAAUUUGGUCCUAUUACAACUAUUGGUCCAUUUGAUUGAUUUAGUUGUAUAUGAUACUCCCACUAUGCUUGUAAAACGGUUUUUAAAGCAAGAGUAUAUGGUACUACUAACAUAAGGUUUGCAUUCAUUAAUGGACUAUAUAGUUGCCUUAGGGCCUUAGGAUGACUAUGAACCUUUGAUUCGAUCCAACACGAGCCUAGUGUUGAAUCUCGGUCUAGGGAUGGUGAUUGAUUUUAGUUACGUGUUAUAUCACAUUAAGGCGUGUUUUCUUAUUGGACGUUGGACCCUCUACUUCAUUUUCAUGCAUAUCAAAUAAAGCAAGAAAGAAGUACUUCAAAGUAAAGAAGAGCUUAUGCUCUUUUAUAACAUUUGAUCAAAACAAAUUACUUUAAAGUAAAGAAGACCUUACACUCUUUUACAAUAUUUGAUCAUAUCAAAUUACAACCAAAAUCUAAUCUACACAUUCCCAUGGUUCAAACAAAUUUGAGACGGCCUUUCACAUAGCUCAAUUAUCGUAGGCUUAGGUUCAUAAUCACCCUUUCUUUAAUUAAUUAACGCUUUAACUAAUUGAACUUGAAUGCAACAUUUUCAUUUGGUUUUUGUUUCCGUAGAAUUGAUUUAAAUGGAGCUAAAUGAAAUGAAAAUCCAAUUCUCAUUUAAAGAUACAAAACUAUUUUGUUCUUAACUAAUUUGGGCCGAAAAGCAAUAACCUCAACCAUUGGGCUAUAUUGCAAAACAUAAACUUUUGAGGUCCCUUUGUAAAAACACAAAAGUCCACUACUUCAUGUAAUUACAACUAGAACCCAAAAAUUUCAACAAAUGCAAAAACUUCAUUAAAGGAGCAAAACAAUUUGUCCUUUAGUGAUUUUGGGCCUUUACGUAAAACCGUAAACUUUCGGGUCAAAGUACAAAUACACAAAAGUAUCAAAACUUUAUGUAAUUACAUAAAAAGCCCAAAAGUAUCCUAUUUAAUAGAGUGGCCGGUUUUGGAUGAGAGAUGGUGUCAUAAAACUUUUGAAUUUUUCAACAAAAGUGAAAGGUGAUGGGUAGGUUUGAAAAAGUGAUUUCCAUAAAACAUGGUUCCUUGAAACAAUGAAAAGGUGUAAGUGAUUGGUAUGGUGUUGAUUGAAAAAAGGACAAAUCAUGUCAUACCAUUUAUUACAAUAAAGUCACACCAACCACCAUAAACAAAACUUUAAGAAAAACAUCAAACACUUUGAAUCAAAACACCAAGCCUUUUUGUUCUUGGUUAGAACAUAACAAGAACAAUGAAGAACAUCCAUGAAAACUCAUAGGAGCUCCAUGAACAUUUUUCACCCAAAGACACCCCCAAAACUCUCAAACUUAAGGGAAAAAACAUAUUACCAUACUAGGGUACUUAGGGGUUCCUAAUGUCACUUUAAAACACUUUUAACAAGACAAACAUGAACCCAAAAAUCCACCAUUUGGAUUUGGCCGAAUUUCCCCAAAAACAUGGCACCAAAUUUUAGUUCCAAAAUUCAUGCUCAUAUGAACUACAUCUACAACAUUUGAGAUGGCAAAUUUUCUAGCAAAAUUUACAUUCAAAGAAGCAAGAAUAAAGCUUGUAACAAUUACAACAUUCAAAUUAUAAACUAUGAAAAUACAAAACCCAAAAGGAUUCACCUACUACUAGACCUAGGCUUUGAUACCACUUGAAGGAAAUUUUGUGAAAAAAUGUUCAUUUGAGCAACAUCUAUGGCCUGCAAUUAACAAUUAAAGGCGGAAUCAUGCUUGUAUGCACUUAAAAACAAAACAUUACCCAUGAAAUUCAAAGCCUAGUAGAAGGGUGAACCAAGACUCAACUCAAGAACAAAGUGAGUUGAGAAAUCUUAUACCUUUGUUGAUUUCUCUUUGCACAAGCAAAGGCUAAUCACCCAAGGAGAGGGCCUUCAUUCCUUGCUUCUUAGCUCCAUGGAUUUCUUGGAUGAGGAUGGUUGAAAGGAUUUUCCAAGUUCCCAAAGUUAAGAACCUCUAAUUUUCCACACCAAGGAGAGACUCGAAGAAGAGAUGAGUGACCUUGGAGGAAGGAAGAUUGCUAGCUAAUCUCCUCCAAGGGGGCCGGCCUCCUAGAGAGAAAGGGAGAGACAUUGUGUUCUCAUCUUUUCUCCAAAAAAACCCUAAUGAAGAAAAGGCUAUAAAGUCACAUUUAUACCUACCUUCAUUGGAGUGGCAAACUUGUAAUAAGUCCAAAACCCACUCCUUUAUUAAUAUGGCCUGCCAUAGGGUUCUAUUGGGCUGUUUGGGCCUUUGUGAAUUAUUAGUCAUUA
rnacentral:lncRNA from 1 species